AUCGAAGAAACUUCCCGGCUGACACAAGUGGUAGUCCGUCAGACGUCCUUGGUUCGCAUGACUGAAGGAACGACUCAUGACCUGAAAUCAAAAGAGCUUAUUC